AUUGAACGCUGGCGGCAGGCUUAACACAUGCAAGUCGAGCGGAGAUGAGGUGCUUGCACCUUAUCUUAGCGGCGGACGGGUGAGUAAUGCUUAGGAAUCUGCCUAUUAGUGGGGGACAACAUUCCGAAAGGAAUGCUAAUACCGCAUACGUCCUACGGGAGAAAGCAGGGGAUCUUCGGACCUUGCGCUAAUAGAUGAGCCUAAGUCGGAUUAGCUAGUUGGUGGGAUAAAGGCCUACCAAGGCGACGAUCUGUAGCGGGUCUGAGAGGAUGAGCCGCCACACUGGGACUGAGACACGGCCCAGACUCCUACGGGAGGCAGCAGGGGGGAAUAUUGGACAAUGGGGGGAACCCUGAUCCAGCCAUGCCGCGUGUGUGAAGAAGGCCUUAUGGUUGUAAAGCACUUUAAGCGAGGAGGAGGCUACUGAGACUAAUACUCUUGGAUAGUGGACGUUACUCGCAGAAUAAGCACCGGCUAACUCUGUGCCAGCCGCCGCCGUAAAAC
rnacentral:rRNA from 1 species